rnacentral:lncRNA from 1 species
CCCGUCUCCAUCGCCGCGCGUGAUUGGCUCCCUUCCGGACACAGCCGCUUUUGAUUGGCCGAGCGGGGCAGAAAAGGCGCCGCGUGGAAGCGGGGCGGCCAUUUUGCGGCGGAGCGGCGAACGGAGCGGAGGGUCUGCCAAUGGACGGCAACGAAGACGAGAGGUGUGGGGCUGCCCCAUAGCGAUGUGUGGGGCUGCCCCAUAGCGUGCUGUGCUCCACAGCGACAUGUGGGGCUGCCCCAUAGAGUGCCCCAUAGCGAUGUGUGGGACUGCCCCAUAGCGUGCUCUGCCCCAUAGCGACGUGUGGGGCUGCCCAUAGAGCCCUGUGCCCCAUAGCGACGUGUGGGGCUGCCCAUAGAGUGCUAUGCCCCACAGCGAUGUGUGGCGCUGCCCCAUAGAGCGCUGUGCCCUAUAGCGACGUGUGGGACUGCCCCAUAGCAUGCUCUGCCCCAUAGCCAUUUGCUGGGCUGCCCAUAGCGAUGUGUGGGGCUGCCCCAUAGAGCGCUGUGCCCCGUAACGAUGUGUGGGGCUGCCCAUAGAGUGCUCUGCCCCAUAG